rnacentral:rRNA from 1 species
GACGAACGCUGGCGGCGUGCUUAACACAUGCAAGUCGAACGAUGAAGCCGGAGCUUGCUCUGGUGAAUUAGUGGCGAACGGGUGAGUAACACGUGAGUAACCUGCCCUUGACUCUGGGAUAACUGCGGGAAACUGUAGCUAAUACCGGAUACGACCCUCGGAGGCAUCUCCUGGGGGUGGAAAGAAUUUCGGUCAAGGAUGGACUCGCGGCCUAUCAGCUAGUUGGUGAGGUAAAGGCUAACCAAGGCGACGACGGGUAGCCGGCCUGAGAGGGUGACCGGCCACACGGGGACUGAGACACGGCCCAGGCUCCUGCGGGAGGAAGCAGUGGGGAAGAUUGCACAAUGGGCGCAAGCCUGAUGCAGCAACGGCGCGUGAGGGCUGACGGCCUUCGGGUUGUAAACCUCUUUUAGCAGGGAAGAAGCGAAAGUGACGGUACCUGCAGAAAAAGCACCGGCUAACUACGUGCCAGCCGCCGCCGUAG